GAUGAACGCUGGCGGCGUGCCUAAUACAUGCAAGUCGAGCGAACGGACGAGAAGCUUGCUUCUCUGAUGUUAGCGGCGGACGGGUGAGUAACACGUGGAUAACCUACCUAUAAGACUGGGAUAACUUCGGGAAACCGGAGCUAAUACCGGAUAAUAUUUUGAACCGCAUGGUUCAAAAGUGAAAGACGGUCUUGCUGUCACUUAUAGAUGGAUCCGCGCUGCAUUAGCUAGUUGGUAAGGUAACGGCUUACCAAGGCAACGAUGCAUAGCCGACCUGAGAGGGUGAUCGGCCACACUGGAACUGAGACACGGUCCAGACUCCUACGGGAGGCAGCAGUAGGGAAUCUUCCGCAAUGGGCGAAAGCCUGACGGAGCAACGCCGCGUGCGUGAUGAAGGUCUUCGGAUCGUAAAACUCUGUUAUUAGGGAAGAACAUAUGUGUAAGUAACUGUGCACAUCUUGACGGUACCUAAUCAGAAAGCCACGGCUAACUACGUG
rnacentral:rRNA from 1 species